rnacentral:ncRNA from 1 species
AGACCGGGAGACUUUCUAACGGGAAGAAAGUCAAGAAUAGGUUUUCAUUAUUCCACUCUCGUGUGGGAAUGCAUUUGGUACCCGACAGAUUGCAUU